AGUGAACGCUGGCGGUAGGCCUAACACAUGCAAGUCGAACGGCAGCACAGAGGAGCUUGCUCCUUGGGUGGCGAGUGGCGGACGGGUGAGGAAUACAUCGGAAUCUACUCUGUCGUGGGGGAUAACGUAGGGAAACUUACGCUAAUACCGCAUACGACCUACGGGUGAAAGCAGGGGAUCUUCGGACCUUGCGCGAUUGAAUGAGCCGAUGUCGGAUUAGCGAGUUGGCGGGGUAAAGGACCACCAAGGCGACGAUACGUAGCUGGUCUGAGGGGAUGAUCGGCCACACUGGAACUGAUAGACGGUCCAGACUCCUACGGGAGGCAGCAGUGGGGAAUAUUUGACAAUGGGCGCAAGCCUGGUCCAGCCAUACGGCGUGGGUGAAGAAGGCCUUCGGGUUGGAAAGCCCUUUUGUUGGGAAAGAAAUCCAUCUGGUUAAUACCCGGGUGGGAUGACGGUACCCAAAGAAUAAGCACCGGCUAACUUCGUGCCAGCCGCCGCCGUAA
rnacentral:rRNA from 1 species